AGUGAACGCUGGCGGUGUGCUUAACACAUGCAAGUCGAACGAGAACGGACUAAAGUUUACUUUAGUUGUCAGCUAAGUGGCGCACGGGUGAGUAAUCUAUAGCUAACCUACCCUAAAGAGGGGGAUAAUUAAUGGAAACGUUUUGUAAUACCCUAUACCUCUUAUCUACACAAGUAUAUAAGGAAGUAAAACUUUAGUGUCUUUAGGAGUGGGGCUGUAUUGUAUCAGCUUAGGUUGGUGGUAGUAAGUCGGACCAACCGAAGGCUAUGACGCAUAACUGGUUUGAGAGGAUGAUCAGUCACAC
rnacentral:rRNA from 1 species